GAGACAGCAGCCGCCGCGGGAAUACGGAGGGUGCAAGCGUUAAUCGGAAUUACUGGGCGUAAAGCGCACGCAGGCGGUCUGACAAGUCAGAUGUGAAAUCCCCGGGCUUAACCUGGGAACUGCAUUUGAAACUGUCAGGCUGGAGUCUUGUAGAGGGGGGUGGAAUUCCAGGUGUAGCGGUGAAAUGCGUAGAGAUCUGGAGGAAUACCGGUGGCGAAGGCGGCCCCCUGGACAAAGACUGACGCUCAGGUGCGAAAGCGUGGGGAGCAAACAGGAUUAGAUACCCCUGUAGUCCCUGUCUCUUAUAC
rnacentral:rRNA from 1 species